CCUGUUUGGAUGCAACAUUUUUAUGUUCCUGUUGCACAUUAUGCUGCUGAAGUGCAAUUUUUGGUUAAAGACAGUGAUGUUGUGGGUUCACAGUUAAUAGGAAUUGUUGCCAUUCCAGUUGAACGAAUAUAUUCAGGGGCUAGAGUUGAGGGAGUUUACCCUGUUUUGAAUAGCAGUGGUAAACCAUGUAAACCUGGAGCUGUAUUGAAAUACCCCAAUGGAGAAACUGAGCAUUUACCAUCCAGGCGUGGGGGCAGGUCCUGACUAUCAAGGUGUGCCAGGCACGUAUUUUCCUCUUAGGAAAGGUGGAACAGUGACUCUUUACCAAGAUGCCCAUGUUCCAGAUGGGUGUCUUCCAAGUUUGAAACUUGAUGACAGGUUGUCUUAUGUGCAUAGAAAGUGUUGGCAUGAUAUCUUUGAUGCAAUACGCCAUGCCAGGCGCUUAAUUUAUAUUGUAGGGUGGUCAGUAUGGCACAAAGUUAGACUGAUUCGAGAUGCUGGUCAUCCAUCAGAUGCCACAUUGGGGGAUCUGCUGAGGUCCAAGU
rnacentral:misc_RNA from 1 species